GGCUAAAAUAGGGAAUAAACUUUUGGCUACGGACCAGAAGGUCGGGGGUUCGAAUCCUCUAGGAC
rnacentral:tRNA from 1 species